CUAGUUCGAUUUGAACAUAGAGAGAGAACCUUGUUUCUUUAUCUUCUUCAUCUUCCAGCUUUUACAUCAAAUCCCAAUUUGUUCUCUAAACUAUGGUACCCGACAGAAUCCAAGGUAGAGCUCAUGGAUGAUUCACCAAGCAAUGCUUCACAUUCCUCGGGUGCAUGGUGUGUUGAAGAGACCCGUAGGAACCCUCCUAACAUAUGCAGUUUCUCAGCCACUUCUCUCAUUGUAGGCCUUUCAUCCCCCUUCAUGUUCAAACAUUCCUUUGCAAGCUCGGCAAUUUCGUGGAUGACAUCCAUGGUUUCUUUUCCAAUGAUUUGAUCAUCCAAUAUCUCUUCAAGUCGACUAUCUUUCAUUGCUUCAAUGAAGCUGAAGGCAAGAGCUUUUCCUUGACUACUCCCAUCAUAAUAAAUUGCCUUUUUCCUUGUGAUGAGCUCCACUAAAAUUACUCCAAAGCUAUAUACAUCACUCUUUGCUGUUAGUUGACGAACUAGAAAGUAUUCCGGGUCCAAAUAACCAAGAGUUCCUUGGACCAUCGUUAUGAAUUGGGUUUCGUCAAUAGACAUCAUCCUCGAUGCACCGAAAUCUGAUACCUUUGGCACAUAGUUAUGAUCUAAAAGUAUGUUGAGCGACUUCACAUCUCCAUGAACGAUCGGUGGGGAUGCCGAUGAAUGUAAGUAAGCAAGUGCUUCUGCAGAUUCUCUGGCUAUUCGUAGACGAGUGGUCAAGGGAAUUAGUUUCCCGUCGUUGUCAUGGAUGAACUCGAAGAGGGUUCCAUUGGGGAUGAACUCAUAAAUCAACAUGGGAAUUUCCACUUCCAAGCAACAACCCAAGAGCCGUACAAUGUUCUUGUGAUUGAUCUGAGAAAGAAUAAUCAUCUCCCGUAUAAAUUCUUCACUUUGGUCGUCGGUGACUACCUUAGACCUCUUGAUGGCCACUACCCUUCCAUCGGCUAUGUUUCCUUUAUAAACGGUGCCAUGGCCUCCUCGCCCAAUUUCUCGACUCUUAUCGAAAUUAUCUGUUGCUUUCUCUAUAUCCUCUUCGGUGUAUAUUUUGACAGUAUCAAUUUGCUUUGAUCUGAUUUCUUCGUAUAAUCUCAAGCCUCCAUUUUGCUGGAAAAAUUUAUCUUUUUCUCUAAGAAGCUUCCUUCUUUGAAACGCUAAGAUUAUGCAGAAGAUACAAGUAAUGAACAAGACAAGCCCAACACAACUGCCUGCACAAAGGGAUGAGUUUCAUGUCAAUUAUUUUGCAAACUCUUCCGGAGAUCGAAUAACGAGUUUCCAAAAUAUUGUUCGGACGAAGCCUAUUAAUGAAGAUUAAAAGGAUAAGAAAUUUCAAGCUUUUUUUAAGUAGGAUGACUUAAUCGAAAUAAAAACUCGAAUCUGAAUAGAUUAUUGUUUUUCUUCUGAUUGAAGUUUUAAGAGAAGGUUUAAGCUAAUACGGAAGGAAGGAUGAGAACUUGUACCUAUAACAAUCUUCGUUGAUGUCGGAAUUCCGUGAUCUCGGACACAUGGUUCCGAUUUAGGGUCCUUGCCGCUGUGACCUUUUGGGCAUGAGCAGCUGUAGUUGCCUGGGGUGUUGUUGCACUUUCCAUGACAUGUAUACAGAUUUGGCGAGCUGCACUCGUCGAUAUCUAAGGAUUGUCAAAGAAUCACAAGGGAAAAUUGUAAGACCACAUACAACAAUCGAAAACAGGAGAGUUGGGGGAGAGAUGCAUGCUGACCUUUGCAGCCAUCCUGGAGGUAAGGAUUGCCUUGGAAACCUGUGGAGCAAUUGCAGAUAUAGCCUUGUAAACUCGGGGACUUGAAACAUUCACUGUUGGUGCUGCGGCAUGCAUAUGAAGGGUUUCUCUUGGCCUCCUCGCAGGUCUGGUUGCCGGCUACCCAGUCCAGCACGAGUGGGACGCCGUCCUUGUGCUUGUCUUCAAAGGUGCGGUUGCCGAGGUCAGACUUGUCGAAGGAGAACCUUGCCUCGUCGGCAAUGAAGGCAUAGGUGCAGGGGCUGUAGUCCUUGUAGGAAGAAAUAUUGAUGAAAUAGGCCAACCCGGUCGUAAAAUUGUCCAGCUUCUCCGGGAUGUUGGUCUGGCAGCAGCCGGUGCCAGAGCACGAUCCGCUUGUGAUGUUUGCCCCUUCGAAGCAGAAGGAGGCGCACCCAGUUCCUGAUGUAUAGUUGUCCCCGCCUAAGAGGAUGCCAACGACGUUGCAGCCCAUGGUCGUGAACCUGUUCUUGGUGCUGGAUACCCAAAAUGGUUUGUCGCCAAGGUCUAGAGAAGGCCUUUGACCAGCCACCACGCCGUCGGUACUGUUGAAACAAUCCCAGCUAAUGUAAUUCAGGAUGCGUGCUUGGCCCUGGGGCAAGAAUAUCUCCUCCACUGUAAUGUUCCCCUCGCGACCGCCCAAGAAAGCUCUGGGAGUCGCAGAGCCGUUACCGACUUCGCAAGUGACCUCGAAGCCUUCCCUGAAACACCCAUCGCCGAUGCCGAAGGGGUACGGGAUGCUAACACCGCCGCAUGUAUCAUUGCAACCUGGUGACACCACGUUCGGCGACGGUGGUGCCGAUGCUGCUGCUGCCGUCGUUGUUGCUUGGAGCAGCGUCAACAACAACAGCUUAAACGCGAACGGUGGCAGCGUGAAUCCCAUCCCUUAUGCUUGCUUGAAAUUAAUUGUACCCUUAGGCUUCCAUCAGAUUUAUAAGCCCACAGAUGGCGAAGCGAGCAUAAUUCGUCGGUCAGCUGUUGUUGCUUAGAAUAAUUGCUUGAUCGAAUACUCGUUCUGCAGCCCAUGUGAAGACUUGUCAAGGCGAAGCCAGCACAUGGCAUAUACUAGAAAAUACAGUCGCUUGGAAAGCUGGAGAUUGACUGGUACAGGCCCCGUCCAAGUCUUCUUUAAGACUUGGACGGUACAGGAGGCCUACUCGCAGUUUGACUCUGGAAUCCACACCUACUCGAAGACUUGCUUGCUUGACUAUGCUUAAUCCAAGAGACAAAUAAUUAACGCCAAAUUUCCAGUAAAAGUCCCCUCUCUCUCUCUCUCUCUCUCUCUCUCUCUCUCUCUCUCUCUAUAGUUUUAUCCCUGCUUAAUGCUCGCUGAUUGGCAUGGUCGAGAGGUGGAAUAUUUGGCUACUGAAAGAUGGCGGCGACAUGCUAUUUGUAGUGUGUUUUAAUAAUUAAGGCCAAUAAAGUUGAUGAUUAUUAUUAAUUAUGUGAAAUCCUAUGUAUUAUAUUAUGAAUUUGUUUAAAAAGAUUAUUACAUUAAACGGAGUAUAAGAUGCUCACAUGAAUUCGAAUCAAGAUCCAUCAAUUGUGAAACCAUACAGUAACCAUUAGAAUGUCUCGAUAAAUAUAUUAUUAUAUUAAGUAGUUAGUCACAAAUUUGGUUAUAGUUUGGUUCAGUCGUCCAAUGGAAACUACUCCGAAAGCCAAACAAAGAAGAAGAAAGAGAAAGACAUUGACUUUAUGUAGUUCCUAUCAUCGUCAUCAUCAUCAUCUUAGCUUCUUAAUUGCCAUUUUUUAAAUGAUCAAAAGUCAAACAAGUCACCAUCUCAAAAUUUGUAGUCAGAGAGAAAGCAAGAGAGAAGUAACCAGGAAUUUGAUGAGGUCAAAUUUGAUUAUUCUAUUGAAUAAGGAAUUCAUAAAUAUAAAAAAAAAUAAGAAAUUGAGUGAUAACUAAAAGAAGUAAAUAUAAGCGUAGAAUAAAUAAAUAGGUUAUUUGAAGGAAUUCUUAUAUCUCUCGUUAUCAAAUUUGUCACGGCGAAGUAGCAAUCAAAUUUGUUACCGUGAGAAGUAGCAAUCAAAUUUGAAGGAUCUCUUAUAAUAUCUUGUUACCGUGAGAAGUAGCAAUCAAAUUUGAAGGAUCUCUUAUAAUAUCUUGUUACCGUGAGAAGUAGCAAUCAAAUUUGUUGAGACACAAAAAUUGAUAUAUUUUCAAUGUGAGAGUUCAGGAGAAUAUAGUGUAUGACUAGUGUAGCUAACUAUUUUUCAAAGCACUUAGUGUAGACAUUUGUAAAGGCUAGCACUUAGUGUAUGAGUAGUGUAGCUAACUAUCACCUUCUUAUGAUUUAUGAUUUAUGAUUGAUCCGACAAAGAAUGAUCAUCUCAGUUAUAACCUAUGUUUUCUUGUCUUUGACGUUUUGGUGUUCUGUUUAAUUUCCCAAGCAAAAUAGUAGAGGUAAUAUAUACAUAUAGUAAUACCAUCAUCGAUGACCUCGAAUAUUGUAUAGGAAGUAGAUUUGUUGGAGUUGCUACGUCACACUUAGAUUUUGGCAUGAAAAUUGACGAGAGAAAGUGUAACUCGUCAAUCAUACACACACGUCGGUGCUUCCCACACCGGUAAGGCCGCCCGAAAGAGCAUCCACGCCGCCACACGGGUGAUGCCUUCCUUGGAAAGGCCUUACCAUAUUGAUACUAAAAGAAUAAGGUGCAAAUCCAAAAUAUAUGAUGUAGAAAUAAUUUAGUUUAUGUAUUAUUUGAAUUUUUUUUUAUUAAUUUAGGGAUAAUUUGCAUAUCACAUAAGUUGUCAUGAGGUAGCAUUUAUUCAAGGCAAUGAAUAUAGAAAAAAAAAAUGGGAAGAAAUUAAAUUCAUUAUUGAUCGAAGAUUAUAAAUCUUGAUUAAAGAUUUUAAAUUUUUAUCUAUACAAAUAUAAUUUUUUUAUUAAUCAAUAAUUGUAAUUAUCUCUAUAAAUUUAAAAUAUUGAAAGAUUUUUCUAAAAAAAUGGUCAAGAAUAUUAUUUUUUAAAGAAAAUAAAUUAUUAUAUAUUUAAUUUAAUUUAAUUAAUUAAUUAAUUUAUUUAUUUAUUUCGAGCCCUUAAAAAGGACUAGAACAUUAUAAUAGAUAACCAGAAAUUGAUCAAUAAAUUAUGUUCUUCGCAUGUGUUAAUGUACGAGAUCAUAUUUGAUUUUCUUAUGGAAUGAUUUUAUCGUCCACAUGAGAAACUUGUGAAAAUAUAGGAUCUUCAUCUUCAUAGUGUUUUUCAUUAGUUAGAACCAUUUAUCUUUUGAUUAUUAUCAUUCUCAUCCUUUUAGUCAUUCAUCAUAAAAAUAUAUAUAUUUACUACAAUUGAGCUACUGACGGUAUGAAUUACUAUCAUAAUAUUUUCUAUUACUAUAUAAACUUAAAGAAAAAAGAACAAAUGUUACAAGAGAUCCUGUCUCCCGUGCUGUCUUUGACUAUAGAUUUGAACCUCCUAGCGUUUUAGGGCCCUCAUUGUCGGGCAAGAUCCGGAUUCAAGCGACCUUGCCACCGUUGAGGAAUGAAAGCUUCUUCUACGAUUCCUAAAGAAUUUUGCCAAAAUAUGAGGCACUGUUGUGAUGCCUCCUACUAGGGUUUUGCCUUCACCCUAAGACGAUUAGGGUUGAAGACGGUAUGUGAAAUAAAUGGCUUUGCGCUUGCAUUAGCUACAUCAUCCUUGUUGCCACCGAAUCACCGAGAGAUCUCCCUUCGAGUGAGAGUGAGAGGGCAAAAGAACAUAAAUAUUAAAAGAACUAUAAAGAACUAGAACAACUAAAUAAAUUAAUCAUAGAGAGAGAGCUUAUAAAAAAACACGAUUAGAGAAUGAAUAGUAUGAAUACACAAAAUAAUAAUAAUUUAAUCAAGAUACCUUUUCAUUUUUAAUUUUGUCAGCUUUGACAUAAAUUAGUUGUAGAAUUAAAGAGAUCCAAGGAAUAUUUUUGUAAGGAUAAGUGACGAAAUGACAUUUAAACUCAUAACCUCAUUGAAAGUUUUUACUAGCUAAUAUAGUUAGCAUGGAAGGAGUGCCACCUGAUAAGAUAAUUAGUCUCUUAAUUUAUUUAAAUUAAAAUUAAACUAAGAUAAUUAGUCCCUUCCUAAUGUUGGAAGAUGUCUUCUUCUCUUCUUUUCGAGAGAGAUUGAGAUACUACGAGCAUCUUGUUAUCCCUUUUAAGUCUGAAUUCAAAUAUAAAUUGAAUCUCAAUUUGAUUGAAAAUUUUAAUCAAACAAUAUUUGAUUCAAAUUAAAAAAGGAGAUAAAAAUUUUUAAAGGCGUGAAUAAUGAUUCUCUAUCCUUCAUGCAUGUUUGAUAAAAAGAUCAUCCGAGAUAUAGGAAAGUCGACGAGGAAUAAACUUAUUCAAGACAACAAAAAAUAGGAAGGCAAUAGUACUGAGAGUCUCGAUCCACAUGUGCGCCAAUGAUGUAUUGUUAUUAACACCAAAGCUCUUAACAAAUAAAUAUAAAAUUAAGUAGAUAAAAUCCUAUAAAAAAAAUAAGUAAAAAUAAAAAAGAUAAAAUUUUAUUUUUUAAAAUAUUUAGAUAAUAGCUUUACUCAAAUUUUACAUACCCAACCUCAACCAGUUUGUCACCUCUUUAUUGACUUCCUCAAACACUUUCUUUUAAAGUAUAACAAGUUAGUUUUUUUUCGUUUUUGUCGAACUAUAAUAGUUAUUACGUCUGCAAUUUCGGAUCUACUGUUCUUUCCCUAUUUUAUAAGAUCAUCACUUAUUCCAAUGAGUAUAUCAUUAGAUUCAGUCAUUUUGAUAUAAACUCUAAUUAUUUAACUGAUGGUUAUGCUAACCUUUGUAGGUUGCUUGGCUCUCCUCACACUUGGAAAUGCUUGGAAGCCAAUGCCCCCUUUUCCAGCACAUAUUGAUUCAUUAUAUAUAUAUAUAUAUAUAUAUAUAUAUAUAUAUAUAUAUAUAUAUAUAUAUAUAUAUACUUAAAAUUUUUAUAAAAAUUGAAAGCAAAUUUCAUGACAUGAAAUGAUGUAUAUAAUAUUCACACAUGGAUCUAAGUCUGAAACCUAUCAAUACACUGACCAAUAUUACCCAUAUGGAUUUAAGUUUAAAAUCUAUUACUUGUAUAAUAAUGCACUAACCAACUCGCAAAUCUCAAUAAAGAUUAAAAGAAUUAAUUAGAUCGCUGGCUCUCGUAAGUAUGUAAAUAAUUUAAAAGAAUAUGUUAUUUAUAUAACAUGUGAAAUUUUUAUGGGACUCGAUAAAACUAUAGAUCAUACUUUUUUAUUUUAUUCUAUCAUUUUUUUAAUUUUUUUCUGAAAGAAAUUGGUCAUCCAUCUUUUUAAAUAAAAAGAAAGAAUAAGAAACUUGAUCCAAUCAAAUCAAAUGGGCAAUUGAGAUUGAAAGCACAAGCGAGAUGUAUGGUUUUUUUUAGGACCUUCGCUACCAUAUAAAUAUUACAAAAUUAUUAUUAUAGUAAAAUAAUUUUUUUUCUCUUUGUAUAUUAAAAUAAGUUUUUCAUCAAAAUAUUAACCAUAAAAGUAUAAACAGUAGAAUAAUAAAUCAAUCACAAAAUGAGAUACUGAAUAUAAUAAAUUUAAAAUAAAUCUUCUUCAAAAUUUUUAGAAUAUUAUAAUAACAUCAAGAACACAUAUCUCAGCUCAAUAUUAACAUAUCAUCAUCACCAUAGAUGGAUUUAAUGAAAAAAAAAAAUUUAGAUUUCACAAAGCGGAUAUAAUAGGAAAGUAUUUUAGAGAGAAUAAACUAUAUAUCGGUAUCAUUAAGAUUAUAAAGCUUAUUGUAAAAAUUCUUCACCUAAAAUUUAGGUCAAAAUGAACGAAGUUUAGUCGUUCCAUCGAGCAAAAGCUUCCAAACCUUAACUUUCGUACUCUUUUUCUUUGUUCUUUCUUUUCUGUGUCCCUGCAGUUUCACCACAUGCACUUAUUCACACACCACUAUCUUCCUACGUCUCCGCUUUUUUUUUUUUUUUUUAAUACAUCAGACUUGGGCUCAAUGCCCAAAUCAAUCGGGCCAAGCCUACCCAUGGGCUGUACCUAAUAGGUCUUUAAAUUAUGCAUACCAAUGGACGAGACGUUGACUUGGGAUCAACUGUUGAAUAGUCAACGAUAAGGAUAGCAACUACAACUAAUGUGAAUUUGGAACGAAAUAUAGCAGCUCGUGGAGGGCAUUUUCUUUUUUCCGGUUUAGAUUUGUGAUUUUUCUUUUUGCCAUAAGGAAUCAUUUUGGAUAUGCAUGGGAUGUAUGUAAGCUUCUUGUUGUUUUAGUCUUGCGCAUACACAUGCCUUUGAAUUAUUUGGCAGAGAGACUUAGGUUGACUUGUAUCUAAUUUUUGUUAAAUAUCAAAACUUGUAAUUUAACGAACCCUAAAUCUCUUAAGCCUCUUUUACCUCUACCUUAUCUCCUCCUCCCUUCUUCUUCUUCUUAUUUCUAAAUUAGUAUUUCAUUAGCCAUCUAUUUCCACUACUUUGAUUUCAACUACCAGUUUUACAUAGAAAAAGAAAUAUAAAUUACAAUAAUGAGAGUUACAAUUCAUUAUACAUUUAUUUAUCAUUCCUGUAAUAGAAGUAACAUAAGUUACAAAACAAGCAACCAAUAAUAUUCUGUUCUGCUAAUUCGAUUUUUACAUAGAAAGAGAACCUAGUUUCUUUAUCUUCUUCAUCUUCCCGCUUUUACAUCAAAUCCCAAUUUGUUCUCUGAACUGUGGUACCCGACAGAAUCCAAGGUACAGCUCAUAGAUGAUUCACCAAGCAAUGCUUCACGUUCCUCGGGUGCAUGGUACGUUGAAGAGACCUGUAGGAACCCUCCUAAUAUAUGCAGUUUCUCAGUCACUUCUCUCAUUGUAGGCCUUUCAUCCCCGUUCAUGUUCAAACAUUCCUUUGCAAGCUCGGCAAUUUCAUGGAUGACAUCCAUGUUUUCUUUUCCCAUGAUUUGAUCAUCCAAUAUCUCUUCAAGUCGGCUAUCUUUCAUUGCUUCGAUGAAGCUUGAGGCAAGAGCUUUUCCUUGACUACUCCCAUCAUAAUAAAUUGCCUUUUUUCUUGUGAUGAGUUCCACUAUAACUACUCCAAAGCUAUAGACAUCACUCUUUGCUGUCAGUUGACGGACUAGCAAGUACUCUGGGUCCAAAUAACCAAGAGUUCCCUGAACCAUCGUUAUGAAUUGGGUUUCAUCCAAAGACACCAUCCUCGAUGCACCAAAAUCCGAUACCUUUGACACAUAAUUAUGAUCUAGAAGUAUGUUGAGUGACUUCACAUCUCCAUGAACGAUCGGAGGGGAUGCCGAUGAAUGCAAGUAAGUGAGUGCUUCAGCAGAUUCUCUAGCUAUUCGUAGACGAGUAGUCAAGGGAAUUAGUGUCCCGUCGUUACCAUGGAUGAAGUCGAAGAGGGUUCCAUUGGGGAUGAACUCAUAAACCAACAUGGGAAUUUCUACUUCCAAGCAACAACCCAAGAGCCUUACAAUGUUCUUGUGAUUGAUCUGAGAAAGAAUAAUCAUCUCCCGUACGAAUUCUUCACUUUGGUCCUUGGUGACUAUCUUAGACCUCUUGAUGGCCACUUCCCUGCCACCGUCUAUGUUUCCUUUAUAAACAGUGCCAUGGCCUCCUUGGCCAAGUUCUCGACUCUUAUUGAAAUUAUCUGUUGCCUUCUCUAGAUCCUCUUUGGUGUAUAUUUUGACAGUAUCAAUUUGCUUUGAUCUGAUUUCUUCGUAUAACCUUAAGCCUCCAUUUUGCUGGAAGAAUUUAUCUUUUUCUUUGAGAAGCUUCCUUCUUUGAAAUGCUAAGAUUAUGCAGAAGAUGCAAGUGAUGAACGAGACAAACCCAACACAAAUGCCUGCACAAAGGGAUCAGUUUCAUGUCAAUUAUUUUACAAACUCUUCCGGAGAUCGAAUUACGAGUUUUCAAAAUAGAAGAUUGUUACCGACUAUUAAUGAAGAUUAAAAGGAUAAAAAAAAUUCAAGCUUUGUUUAAGUAGAACGGCUUAUUCGAAAUAAAAACUUGAAUCCGAAUACAUUAUUUUUCCUAUUGAUUGAAGUUUUAAGAGAAGGUUUAAACUAAUACGGAAGGAAGGAAGGAUGAGAACUUGUACCUAUAACAAUCUUCGUUGAUGUCGGAAUUCCGUGAUCUCGGACACAUGGUUCCGAUUUAGGGUCCUUGCUGCUUUGACCUUUUGGGCAUGAGCAGCUGUAGUUGCCUGCUGUGUUGCUGCACGUUCCAUGACAUGUAUAGAGAUUUGGCGAGCUGCACUCGUCGAUAUCUAAGGAUUGUCAAAGAAUCACGAGGGAAAAUUGUAAGACCACAUACAACAAUCGAAAAUAGGAGAGUUGGGGGAGAGAUGCAUGCUGACCUUUGCAGCCAUCCUGGAGGUAAGGAUUGCCUUGGAAACCUGUGGAGCAAUUGCAGAUAUAGCCAGGUGGACUGGUGGAGUCGAUACAGUCACUGUUGCCGCAUGCAUAUGAAGAAAGGUUUCUCUUAGCCUCCUCGCAGAUCUGGUUGCCGGCUACCCAGUCCAGCACGAGUGGGACGCCGUCCUUGUACUUGUCUCCAAAGGUGUGGUUGCCGAGGUCAGACUUGUUGAAGGAGAACCAGUCCUGCUCGGCAAUGAAGGCAUAGGUGCAGGGGCUGUAGUCCUUGUAGGUAGUAAGAUUGACGAAAUAGGCCAACCGGGUCGUGAAAUUGUCCAGCUUCUCCGGGAUGGUGGUCUGGCAGCAGCCGGUGCCAGAGCACGAUCCGCUUGCGAUGCUUGCCCCUUCGAGGCAGAAGGAGGCGCACCCGGUUCCUAAUGUAUAGUUGUCCCCGCCAAAGAGGUAGCCAAGGACGUUGCAGCCCAUGGUCGUGAACCUGUUCUUGGUGCUGGAUACCCAAAAUGGUUUGUCGCCAAGGGCUAGAGAAGGUUCUUCACCAGCCACCCAGUAGUCGGUACUGUUGAAACAAUCCCAGCUAAUGUAAUUCAGGAUGCGUGCUUGGCCCUGGGGCAAGAUUAUCUCCUCAAUUGUAAUGUUCCUCUCGCGGCCGCCCAAGAAAGCUCUGGGAGUCGCAGAGCCGUUAACGACUUCGCAAGUGACCUCGAAGCCUUCCCUGAAACACCCAUCGCCGAUGCCGAAGGGGUACGGGAUGCUAACACCGCCGCAUGUAUCAUUGCAACCUGGUGACACCACGUUCGGCGACGGUGGUGCCGAUGCUGCUGCAGUCGUUGUUGCUUGGAGCAGCGUCAACAACAGCAGCUUAAACGCGAUCGGUGGCAGCGUGGAUCCCAUCGCUUAUGCUUGCUUGAAAUUAAUGGUACCCUUAGGCUUCCAUCAGAUUUAUAAGCCCACAGAUGGAAAAGCGAGCAUAAUUCCUCGUUCAACUGUUGUUGCUUAGAAUAAUUGCUUGAUCGAAUCCUCGUUCUGCAGCCCAAGUGAAGACUUGUCAAGGCGAAGCCAUCACACGGCAAAUACAAGAAGACCCUGUCGCUUGGAAAACUGGACAGUGACUGGUACAGAUCCCGUCCAAGUCUUCUUUAAGAUUCCUGAAGGUUGGAGCUGUGAUCGGUACAGGAGUCCUCCUCGCAGUUUUGACUCUGGAAUCCACACCCAACCGUAGACUUGCUUGCUUAAUCCAAGAUACAAAUAAUUAUUGCCAAAUUUUCAGUAAAAGCCCCUCUCUCUCUCUCUCUCUCUCUCUCUCUCUCUCUCUCUCUCUCUAUAGUUUUAUCCCUGCUUAAUGCUCGCUGAUUNNNNNNNNNNNNNNNNNNNNCUCUCUCUCUCUCUCUCUCUCUCUCUCUCUCUCUCUCUCUCUAUAGUUUUAUCCCUGCUUAAUGCUCGCUGAUUGGCAUGGUCGAGAGGUGGAAUAUUUAGCUACUCAAAGAUGGCGACAUGCUAUUUGUACUGUGUUUUAACAAUUAAGGCCAAUAAAGUUGAUGAGUAUUAUUAAUUAUGUGAAAUCCUACGUAUUAUAUUAUGAAUUUGUUUAAAAGCAUUAUUACAUUAAACGGAGUAUAAGAUGCUCACAUGAAUUCGAAUCAAGAUCCAUCAAUUGUGAAACCAUGCAGUAACCAUUAGAAUGUCUCUAUAAAUAUAUUAUAUCAAGUAGUUAGUCACAAAUUUGGUUAUAGUUUGGUUCAGUCGUCUAAUGGAAACUACUCCGAAAGACAAACAAAGAAGAAGAAAGAGAAAGACAUUGAAUUUAUGUAGUUCCUAUCAUCAUCAUCAUCAUCUUAGCUUCUUAAUUGCCAUUUUUGAAAUGAUCAAAAGUCAAACAAGCCACCAUCUCAAAAUUUAUAGUCGGAGAAAAAACAAGAGAGCUAGAAGUAAGUAAGGAAUUUGACCGGGUCAAAUUUGAUUAUUCUAUUGAAUGAGGAAUCCGUAAAUAUAAAAAUAAAUGGGUUAUUUGAAGAAAUUUUUAUAUAUCUCGUUAUCACGAGAAGUAGUCAUCAAAUUUGUCACCACUAUGUCCUAUUUUGGAUAUGAGAGUUCAUGAGAAUAUAGCGUAUGAGUAUAGCCAACUAUUUUUAAAAGCGAAAGAAAUAUUAUUACGAUGAUAAUAUAUUUUUAAAAAAAUAAAAUAUAUUUUUAUUAUAUUAAAUGACAUUUCACAUGUGAAUUUGAAUCUUAGACUCAUUAUUGGAAGUUCACAUGUGAAUUUGAACACAUAGCCAACUACUUUUAAAAGCGAAAGAAAUAUUAUUACGAUGGUAACAUAUUUUUAAAAAAUAAAAUAUAUUUUUAUUAUAUUAAAUGAUAUUUCACGUGUGAAUUUGAAUCUUAGACUCAUUAUUGGAUGUUCACAUUGUGAAUUUGAAUGCGAGAUUCAUUUAUCGAGCGUUCACUUCAACCUGAAACUUAUUAUUAUAUAAUAAUACGUUAACCAAUCAGAUAUUUUUAGAGACGAUAGCAAUAUGUUUCAUACUGCUUCAUAUUGGAGCCAUUCAUAUCCUCAUUAUUCACAUCAAUAAUUUUUUAUUUUGGAAUUUAUUACGAAUGCUCUCAGCUGCUACAUAGCAUACUGUUAGAAUCCAUAAUAUUCUUAAUUAUCAAGAAGCCAACAGAGAAUAAAUAAGUUAGAGGAGAAGCACCAAAUUAAAUAUUUUUUUUAUCCUGCUAAUAUUGUCUUUUCAACAAAGGAAGUGUUGCCAUUUUACUUGGAAGUUCUUCAUCUUCCAACUUCUAUAUCAAAUCCUAUUUUGUUCUGUAAACUAUGGUGUCCUGUAGUGUGUAAGGUGGGAACCGUUGAUGAUUCACCAAGCAGUCUUUCACACUCUUCAGGAACAUGUUGCAUCGAAGAGCGUUGUUGGAGAGCCCUCUUCGCGUAUAUGGAGCUUCUCGGCCAAUUCUCUCAUUGGAGGAGGCCUUUUUAUCUCCCUCAACAUUCAACACUCCUUUGCAAGCUCGGCAAUUACUUGGAGGAUAUCCAUGCUCUCCUCCCCUGUGAUUCGAUCAUCCAACAUCUCAUCAAGCUUGUUAUCUUUUAAAAUUCACAACUUGUGUUCAGCCAGUCGACAAGCUUCAAAAUCGUGAUUCUUUCAAGAAGAUCAAUGGAAUCCAUAACAUUAUGAGGACAAAAAGAAUAGAACUUCUGGAUUCGAAACUGGUCCGGAUUUGACUCUGGAAUCAUUUCAAAAAUAUGCAGAUGACUUCAAGGAGCAGUACUACUUUCACACAAUUGCAGACUUUGAUGUAAUAUCUGGUCAACAGGAACCAUCAGUAGAGAAUAUUGAUGGUGAAUAUUGGCGGAUAGUAGAGAAGCCAACUGAGGAGAUUGAGGUGCUAUUCUAGAUCACACAAACCGUAACGAAUCUAGUUGUGCACUAGUGUUUCUGUUGAUUAUAGUAUUAUUAGAUGCAUUUCAUACUUCGCAUAAAAUUGCAAAAAUAUCUGGACUUGUCUCUUCUUCCAAUUCGAAGAACAACCAGACUUGCUUCACAAUCUUGUAAUAGCUUUUUGCCUUAUCUUUUCUCUCUGCAUGAAUGUUAUCUUGGGAAGAUGAUGUUUUCUAGCUUAUUUUCUUUCAGAAAUUCAACUGGAAAGUAUUCAGCAUGUCUGAUGUUUACUGGUGUGUUCAGAGGCCCAGAAGAGUUUGUUCUCACUUUCCCUCGAGCUUAUCACGCUGGUUUUAAUUGUGGAUUCAAUCGUGCAGAAGCUGUAAAUAUGGCUCCUCUUGAUUGGUUACCUCAUGGGCAGAAUGCUGUGGAACUUUAUCGUGAACAGGGACGAAAAAUAUCAAUAUCCCUUUCAACUGGAGCUGCAAGGGAAGCUGACUUGUUUUCAAGGCAGUCAGAUUGUGAUGAUAAGACAACUUCCCAUGCUCACAAGGAUAAAAUUCUUCUAGUGCCCCAGACUAAUGUGUUGUUGGCAAACGAAAAUGAUCUGUUGGCUGGCCUGCAUGUUUCUCGUAAUAGGUUAAUGAUGAUGACCAGGUAGAGGAAAACUGCAGAGAGGUUCUCUCCAAUUUAUGUGAUCAACAGUAGGUUGAAUUCCUUCCUGGAAGGGAAAGUGAAUGUGUGAGAUCUGCAGCCAGUGUAGUACCUGUUGCAAAAACCAAGUGCAGAUAUUUUGCCUGCAUAUGAAGCAUCUGAUUGUGUUACUGAACCUAUUCAUCCUCAAAUUAUCCAGAAUUAUGGAAGAGGAGAACCAAAAGAUAAAAGCCAGAAGGGACAAGCUGAGUUCAAUUCUGAGGCUAACAUUGAUAGAGGCAAUUCAUCUACUGAAAUCCAACCUUGUACACAAAGAAAUCUUGAUAUAUGUAACUAUGAGCAGAUGGGCCCUCGAUUGGAAAUGGUGGUGCAAAAGUAACUGCAAUAUUGAGGUUUUGGCAUAUGGUAUUGUGCUUUCUGGAAAGUUUGCUGUUGAUGUUGGGAACAGGAUUCUUGAUUCAUUUCAGGAAAGUUUCUGCUGGAUUUGAAAGUUACUCGGGACAUAAAUUUUUUCUUGUUAUUGUGUACUUUUGCUUUUUGUCUCAUCAUUCACCUGAUAUUUGUCUCAUUAUGCAGGAUAUAGAAGUCAAGUUAAAUACAUUAGCAUUUUAGAUCCAACACAGAUGUGUUACUGUGUAUCUGAAAUUUUGGAUGUUGGAUUACUUGGACUUCUAUUGACAGUGAGUAAUUUUGUCUCUUUGUACCUAUGUCACUGUUUAUGUCAACCAUGCAUCCAGACAUUGUACAUGAUGCUAGAUUAAGAAGCAUCAUUGUAAGUUAUUAUCACAGUAUAAGCAUGACACAUUUUAUCAGUAAGUUGAUCUUAGUAGUCCUUUUGAAUUUAUUCCUUAUCAACUAGUUCACGAUUGAAUUUAUUCGAUGUGUUUGGUGCACCCAUGAAACACAAGAUUCUUCAUUAUUGCAAUAGCAGACUUGUUAUCAUAGUAGAUUUUAGUUAGUCCAUCUUAUUUUUGUUGGAGAUCUAUUAGAAUUCUUACGAGACAAAUUAUUCGACAUGCUAUACUUGUAGUUGCAAUAUGCUCCGCCUCUCUUAAUGUAUCUAAGAACUUUGCUCGCUAAGACUAUCCGUGCAUGAAUCUAUAUAGCAAACCAAAUGCAAAUAUAAUAUCCUAUCUUGAAUGUGUAAGAUAAAUAAACUCUCUAAUUAAACUUGUAUAUUGUUGUUUUUUCAACUCUAUCAUUUAAUAUGGAGUAUUCAUUGGUUUAUAAGUCAUCAUAUAACAUUGUUUUAACAAAUCUUUAGUAUAUUUUAUACUUACUUUGUGUUUUUUCUUUUUGCCAAAAAAAAAAAGGGAAUCAUUUUGGAUAUGCAUGGGAAGCAUGUAAGCCUGCUGUUGUUUUUGUCUUGAUGCAUACACAUGACUUUAAAUUAUUUGGCAGAGAGACUUAGGUUGACUUGUAUCUAAUUUUUGUUAAAUAUCACAUCUUAUAAUUUGUCGUACCCUAAAUCUCUUAGCUUCUUUUACCUCUACCUUUAUCUCCUCCUCUCUUCUUCUUGUUAUUUCUAAAUUAGUAUUUCAUGAGCCAUCUAUUUUCAGUACUUUGAUUUCAACUACCACAAAUAAUCUUACCUUGAAUAGGACUCUUAAAUCAAUAUCUAAUCUAAUCAUAAAGCUUAAGUUAAUAUUCCAAUACUUCCUUCAAACUCGAGUUUUACAUAGAAAAAGAAAUACAGAUUACAAUACUGAGAGUUACAAUCCAUUAUAUAUUUAUUUAUCAUUCCUGUAAUAGAAGUAACACAAGUUACAAAACAAGCAACCAAGAACAGUCUGUUGUUCUACUAGUUCGAUUUGAAAAUAGAGAGAGAACCUUGUUUCUGUAUCUUCUUCAUCUUCCAGCUUUUACAUCAAAUCUCAAUUUGUUCUCUAAACUGUGGUACCCGACAGAAUCCAAGGUAGAGCUCAUAGAUGAUUCACCAAGCAAUGCUUCACAUUCCUCGGGUGCAUGGUGUGUUGAAGAGACCUGUAGGAACCCUCCUAACAUAUGCAGUUUCUCAGCCACUUCUCUCAUUGUAGGUCGUUCAUCCCCCUUGAUGUUCAAAC
rnacentral:lncRNA from 1 species